rnacentral:rRNA from 1 species
UCCAGACUCCUACGGGAGGCAGCAGUGGGGGAUAUUGCACAAUGGGGGAAACCCUGAUGCAGCGACGCCGCGUGGGUGAAGAAGUAUUUCGGUAUGUAAAGCCCUCUCAGCAGGGAAGAAAGAAGACGGUACCUGACUAAGAAGCCCCGGCUAACUACGUGCCAGCAGCCGCGGUAAUACGUAGGGGGCGAGCGUUAUCCGGAUUCACUGGGUGUAAAGGGAGCGUAGACGGCCGUGCAAGCCAGGAGUGAAAGCCCGGGGCCCAACCCCGGGACUGCUCUUGGAACUGUGCGGCUGGAGUGCGGGAGGGGCAGGCGGAAUUCCUGGUGUAGCGGUGAAAUGCGUAGAUAUUAGGAGGAACACCAGUGGCGAAGGCGGCUUACUGGACUGUAACUGACGUUGAGGCUCGAAAGCGUGGGGAGCAAACAGGAUUAGAUACCCUCGUA